AUGUGUUCAGUGAGAAACUUGGUUCUGAAGUUUGACUAUGAAAUUUUACAUAAUGCAGCGGAGUCCAUUCUUCUUGGCUUUCAGCGCUGCCUGUUCUUGCUGGGAACUACUGUUAUAUUACGUUCUGCAGUCGUUCUGCAGAUGGGAGGAAACAAUGAGGACAAGGCAGUUGUUAUGCAGAUGUUGAUGUUUUUGGCUGGAAUCAACACCCUUCUAAAGAGUUUCUUUGGCUACCUGAUUGCCUGCGGUGAUUGGUGGAUCAUACACCUUUGUUCUACCUACCAUUUCGAUCAUACUUGUGGGAUGCUACACGGAUGA
rnacentral:rRNA from 1 species